UCACCGUUCUACCUUUUUCUUUACCUCCUCCAUACCAACAAUUUCACAUUUUUGGAUUCAUCGCUCCGUCAGAUCUGUUGCCCCAGAUUUUCAGUCCAGGUCUUUUGUAAUUUGGCAUACCUCAGCCUUUCCUCCCUUUGUCCUCUUCCUUAUAGCUUCUUGACACCCACCCUUACACCGGGACCAUUUCUGAUGAGGCUUCAGUGAACAGUAGAUGGAUCAAUUGAAGUGCCAGAUGCAUCUCUCGGGUUUUGUGUCAGGUCUUUGAGCUGAUACUCUCUGGGUGUUUGGAUUUAUUGGCCUUGAAUCACUCUGAUACAGAAGAAAUGACCUUGACUUCCGAGUCUCACGGUGCAGCUUCUCUCUGAGCGCAGUCCAAAUGGAGGGAGCACAAGAGGCAACGAUACUGCAAACCAAGGGUGCAACUACGCAGUCUCCAGGCUUUUCUGCUGUCAGCGCACAAGGGAAUGAACAAACUACUUGCAGCCUUGUGCAGCAGAGGAAUAUUAAAUUUUAAUCACACCAAUACAGUCCCAUAAUGGCAUCAUGAUUGCAAAUCAACUACGGAUUUGUUCGACAGUCACUGAUGGAUAAGCGAGCGUAUGAGCGGCAAGAAGAGUGGCAAAUGAAAGGACUAAUGACACUAAAGCCUGACUGCAGAUUAGCUGUGGCCUUAUAAGGUCAGGAGGAACUGCAGCAAACUGGCGAGACUCACGCAAACACACACCAGUUCAUAGUGUUACUGGCCAGUUUUAUUCUGUAGAAGGAUGCAUAUAUAACAUCCUCUUGCACAUUUGCUGGAGGAUCUUAUAUGUUAUAUAUAUAUCUAAGCUUGUCCUGCGUGACCCGCUGCUGGCCUGAGCACAAUGACUGGAACCAGUACCCUGACAGGGGGAUAAGUAAUAGCUCCUCUAUGGCUGCCAGCCUACACAAUCAUCCCUGCUAUUGCCUCCACUGAUUUAUUGAAAGACAAAGACCUUUGGUUCCAGUGAGCCUGCUGCCUGGCCCAGCUCCCAAUGCAUGUAUUGUUUUCCAUUUUAGUGCCACAUAAUGCCAAGAGAAGACACUGAGGCCCUGAGCUGGGGUUCAUGUCACUGCUAUGGAUGCUGCGUUCGCUGGUAAUAAAGUGGUCACAAUAGAUAAACAGCACCUUUGCAUUGCAGAGAUGAGCGCGCAUAAGUGUCGACGAGGGAGAGACGGAGUGCUUUAAAUUAAAUUUUUGUCCAAAUUAUUAUAACAGUGUAGCGUUAUUUACAAAACCCAACCUCAGUGAAAGACACUAAUAUACCACCAUAGUAUUUCAUCAAUCUUAUUGUUGGGUGGAUUGCCUUUGAUUGAUGACUAAUGUUUUAAUUAGAAUACGUUUCAAUUACGUGAGUUGAUGGAAUAUCAGAUAUAGUGCUGUGCUAAAUCACACCAACAGUGAACUGGACUGUUCUGCAGACAAAACUAAAUCACCCCCCAGUCAUAUUUUGCAUCUCAGAGCGUUUGCUAAUUUAUUUUUCAUUUUACUUUGUCUGGGCAAAAUGUUUUAUGGAAAGGCGGGUAUUUCUAGCCGAGCCAAAAGUUGCUUUCUGUGCACGGUCCUUCUUCAUCAAUUGCUUCACUGCGGGUAAAAGUGCUGCCGGGAGCAACCAUGCUGAUAAAAUAAUGUGGCUUCAAGCAGACAUUGAUACUAAAACAACAAAUAUGAGAGUCUGGUGUUAAAAUACAAGAGGAUGAAAGGAAGGAAAAUGUGGAAAAAUAGAUUAUCUGGUCCAGGCGCUGUAGUUUCUAUUCUAUUACAUACUUAUUUCAUAGGUGGUGAGAUCUCAUUUACAAGACGAGGUUAAAAGGACAGAAAAGAAAAAGAAGUAACAAGCUGCAAACAGUAUAGCUUUCUUUUCAUAUAGUCACUGUACCUCAAUAUGCUGCUGUCUCUUGAGCGUUAGCUGCAUUAUUAUUAUAUAUAAGAUGUUACAAAAAAGUUACAGAAUGUAAACACAACCGGCACAAAAUCUUAAAGUUAUUAAGACUUGGUUUUGCUGUACACUAGAGAAAUUUAGGCUUGUCUUUACUGAAAUCCUAAGUGUGUGAAGUCCUUUUGGUGCAGACGCUGACAAUAAACCAAAAGGUGUAUAUCAUGGGUCCCCCAUCCCAGUCCACGAGGGCCGGUGUCCCUGCAGGUUUUAGAUGUGUCCUUGAUCCAUCACAGCUGAUUUAAAUGGAUAAAUUACCUUCUCAACAUGUCUUGAUGUUCUCCAGAGGCCUGGUAAUGAAUUAAUCAUGUGAUUCAGGUGUGUUGACCCAGGGUGAGAUCUGAAACCUGCAGGGACCUCGUGGACUGGGAUUGGGGACCCCUGGUGUAUAUAAAAGACGGUGACAGCCGACGACAUCACCCAUCGAUUUGUGGAUUGACUACAUUCAGUCAUUUAGGUUACUGCUGUGCUAGAGUGUGCUAUAGUUUCAGCUGAAUAUAUGGCUUUAAAGGGUAAGACUUUAGUACAUUUAAAAGCUGAUAAUGCUUACCAGAUUAGGCUGGGAUAUUAUUAGCAGCACACAACAAUAACCAUAAACAGCCUAUUGAUUUUACGUUCAGUUCUCUUAAAGCACUCGUAUCCAGUGUUGCAGAGAGAAGCUUUAAAUGGUAAUUUUUGCUCCAUGGUGGGCAUUAAAUGUAACACUGGACAGUGUGACUGUAGAGUCAGUGGUGAAAUGAAGCUAUCCAUUCAGAGUACGAGCCACCGUUAGAGCCUAUUCAAUAAACAUUUACAGCAGUAGAAGCUUCCACAGUGCAACUUGGGAAAGAAGGACCGCACCUCAAUUUCCCAUCCAAGCCUACGUGUGCAUUUGUUUUUCAGUAUAUCAAACAUUAAUCCUACCAGUGCUACGAUCUUUGUGAAAAGCGCAAAUGUAGCGUUUUGAUAUGAUUACUUCACCUUUUUUUAAAAAAAAUCGGUGUAAGAUUGCUCACUUGAAUCAGCCAUUAAUUUUUUUCCUCCCUGAAACAGACAAAAAAAUCAUACAUUUAUACUGCUUCUUUGACCGAUUGUAGUAUCCCCAUGCAGCACGGCAAGCUGUGGUGAAGGGAACAGGACAACACUGAACAAGAAAAAGAAAGAAAUGCACAUAGGCAGAAACCUCUUGACAUGCUCUUACUUUACUUUUUUUAAAAGUUUACCAGAUUUUUUAAGAGAUUUACCUAAUAAAUUUAAGGCAGUUAACCUGUUACGCCCCAUAAAAACAAAGUGACAUAGUCUAAAAACAUAGAUAAAACAUAUAAAUAUAUAAAACAUAUUUAUACAAUCAUAUGUCAUCAAAUCUGUUUAGUAUGUCUGGAUUUGUGAUUAAAUGAUCAGAUCACUUUUUUUUGCAAGAUUUG